rnacentral:rRNA from 1 species
AACGAAGGGGGCUAGCGUUGUUCGGAAUUACUGGGCGUAAAGCGCGUGUAGGCGGUUGUUCAAGUCGGGUGUGAAAGCCUUGAGCUCAACUCAAGAAAUGCACUCGAUACUGGAUGACUUGAGGACCGGAGAGGAUAGUGGAAUUCCCAGUGUAGUGGUGAAAUACGUAGAGAUUGGGAAGAACACCAGUGGCGAAGGCGGCUAUCUGGACGGUUUCUGACGCUAAGACGCGAAAGCGUGGGGAGCAAACAGG